GCAAGUGUGUUGAAAUUGGUAGACAAGCUCGUUUUAGGUACGAGUGGCUAACGCUGUAUGAGUUCAAGUCUCAUCACUUGUA
rnacentral:tRNA from 1 species